rnacentral:rRNA from 1 species
ACUCCUACGGGAGGCAGCAGUAGGGAAUAUUGCACAAUGGGCGAAAGCCUGAUGCAGCAACGCCGCGUGUGCGAUGAAGGCCUUCGGGUUAUAAAGCACUUUUCUGAGGGAAGAGGAAGGACGGUACCUCAGGAAUAAGUCACGGCUAACUACGUGCCAGCAGCCGCGGUAAU